UUGUUAAAUUUUUUAACUGCCUCACAUAUUUCUGAAUGAGAAUCGUUUUUUCCCAAACAUAGGUUUCCACAGUCUUAAAAGCUUGUCGGUAUAUACAGGUUCUGAUGAGAGCAAUGCGUAAUAUUAACAUCAACAAAGUGCUAAGGAUCAACAAAUGUAUACCUAGAGGGCGUCAGAGUUGAGUUGUGUACAUAAUUCAUAUGGAUCAUAUUGCUUUAAAUCACUUUCAAGAGUAAUAUUAAACUGUUGGCGAACGCUUUCCUAGAAACCAUUUAGAAAACGGAAAAUUAUGCCAAGGGAAAUGAAUAUAUCGACCAGAUCAAUGUCAAGAAGUAUUUGAUAGGAUCCCCACGUGAAAGCCUGACUGUCGGUCAACUGAUCAUCUUCUGAAAAUACAUUUAAUGCAAAUUAGAUGUACAAGUAUUCACUAUUGAAGAAGAAAGCCGAUCACAUCUACACAAAAACUUCCAAAGACGAAAGAAAAUAUUAUUCUAAAGGUUCAACGUGGUCACCAUCCAGCUGCUGUAAUGGUUUGGUGGGGGUCUUCAGUAAAGGUGUUAUAACUCUUUACUUCUGUGAAAAAAAGAUAAAAAUGCAGGAUGUUUUAGAAGGCGUGGAAAAGAAGCUAAGCAAUAGUCUCAUCGAUGGAGAGGAUUGGAUCUUCCAGAAAGAUUGUGCUCCAGCACAGAGCAGUCGCUUAAAAGCUGGAUUCCUUGUUCAAUAGCUGCAAAUCAUUGCUCGUCUGGAAGUCUAAAUUUAUUGGACCGAUAUGACCUUUGAAUCCGUCAUUUGGAGAGUUCAUUCGAGCUACUUCGUCAAUGCCAGUAGAAACUGUACGCGUCGCUUCUGAUAAAGUGCCGAAUGGUUUGAGGGCUUGUAUGCCAGCAAAAUGAAACUAUUACGAAUAAAGUGUAUUACAGUUUCAAUUUUCUAAAGGCCGCACUUGUAACAGAACUUAAGGCAGGACUAGGUAUAUUAGAAAAUACAUUAUAGAAUUAUAGGUCAUCCAGACACCGAUUUGAUCGAUUCAUUGCCUCAGUAGCAAUAAAUAGAACAAAGUCAACUUCUCGAAACAAGUGUACACCCAGUCACUCCGGCUUAUGAUAAUAUUUGCAAUCAAAUUUGCUCUUUUCAAAAAAGCUCAUUUGAAUUGUCGAUUUUUUUACAUAAACCAAAUUAUCGCCGAAAGACCAUCACUAUUGUGAACAAUAUCCCAAUACUUCUAGAUUUCUCCUACAACUUACAUUCUAUGUUAUUCUU